AAUGACGCCCGUUGAUUACCUGGUAGAAAGUGCUGAGGUCAAACUCCUCCAUGACCCUGUCUACCUCUGCAACCAGGUCCAGGAAGUGGGCGUGCCCUGAGGUGACCUCGAGCCCAACAAAGGUCCUGGGGGGAGACAGCAGUGGAGACAACACCGGUGUGAGACACGGCUGCUGAGAAUGUAAACCAGCCGUGAGGAGGGCAGAGGAUGCAACAGAAGGAAGCCGGGAGGGUCUAAGAUCCCCUGAAGGACCAUCUUCAUCUGCUGCUGCCAAGUCUACGGACCCGAAGCUUCUGUGGCCAGGCUCACCAUCAUUGCUCCCAGUGUAUCAGGAAUACGUCUGCUUCUUGGCCCUUGCACUGCCAUCACCCUGAGUUAGGACACCUUGGCACCUCACCUGGAUGGUGACACCUGUCUUCUCUCUCUCUCCCUGCAUCCAACCUCCUCUACAUCUUGUCUCCAUGUGGGAGCCACAGACACGAUUGGGCCAGACUGACAGUUACCAACAAUGUGAGACCCCAAAGAGCAAGGACUGUGCUGACCUUUUCAUUGCUGACCUGCAGUGUACAGCAAGUCUCUGGCACCAGGACGUGCUGAACCAAUUUUGCAGAAUGAAGGAAUGAGCUGUCCUCUCAGAGGUGCUGAGAGCAGAAGGCAACUCAGUGAGUGGAUCUGACAAGGAGGUUUGCUUGGAAGCCUUGUUAAUAACAAUUUUUUUUGUUCAUCUCA